AUCAAGCAGGAAUUGACCACUACAAUAAUCUAAUAAACGCUUUAUUGGCCAAAGGACUUGAACCAUAUGCUAUUCUUUAUCAUUGGGAUAUUCCUCAAGCUUUGGAAGACAAGUACAAUGGAUGGCUCAACCCUCAAAUAAUAAAAGACUUUGCAAAUUACGCAGAGACAUGCUUUGAGAAAUUCGGAGAUCGGGUGAAGAACUGGAUCACUAUCAAUGAACCUCAUACAUUUUCAAUCCAGGGGUAUGAUGUAGGCAUUCUGGCGCCGGGUUGCUG